UUUUCCUCUUCUUUUGUUCUUUAAUAAGCCCUUCGUCUUCUUCUGUUCUUUAGUUUAAUAAGUUACGUCUUUUCCUUUAGAAAAAAAAUAACGCUAUUUCCUCUUCUUUCAGCCUAUUUUAUUUGAAUGGAACUACAAAAGGAAAGCUACGCCAAUUCUUACCACCAUUUUAUUGCAGAAAGGCCGCAAUAUGAAAGAGAGGGAUUGUGCUUUACCUUGUUUCUUGGCUGUCGAGGAAUAAAAAGUAUGGUAAAUCUCCAAAAUUAUGGAUUUUGUUUUAAGAUAUCUUAUAGUUAGAUUUUUUACGGUGAGUUUCAUGACUGCAAUCAAAGCGCGAUCAUAUUUUCUAGGUGGUAGUUCCAGCGAAUUUGAAACUUUGUUGUUGUCGACAAGAAAUUGCAUUUACGUAACAUUCUUAUACUGAGUUUUGGUUAUUUAUUUUCUCUUGCGGCUAAUAGAAAAAUUACAGUAAGUACAAACAAUUCCCAUUUUUCAUCUAUGCUAAUUGUUUGUUUGGUUUGAGAUGUAUAGUAUUGAAAUAGGCUAGAAAAAGUUCAUUAUUCCUCUUACACUCUAAUGCUAAACUAUCAACAAAAGAUUUGCUUAUAUGAAGGUCAACUUCAAUUUCUUCUCUCCAAAUUCAUCUCUAGGUAAUUUUGCCCUUUUCCUCAUUUUUCAAUUUGUGUGCUAAAAAUGCAUCGACAAUCAAUUUCUUUUAAUCUUUUUAAUUAAUCUCUCUGUUCCUUUUCAAGUGUUAUGCCUUUUAAUCUCCACAAUAGGUUUACCUAUAGUCAUUUUAAGAUUAGGAUUAUUCUUAUAGUGUGCCUUUUUUUUUUUUGGUGAUGUUACUUUGUACUUAUUGGACUGUAACUUUUUGUUAUUUUAAUUUUCUUUAUUUUUGUUUCAGAUCCAUGAGCUGAUAUUCAACUUGUUCAACUGGAAAAGACUAAUUUUAUUUCCAGGUUUAAAAUCAUUAUUUUGGUCAUUAGUGAGAGUAUGACUUUUUUUUAGGAAAUUUUUACCUUCCUAUACACUAUUUGAAACCUUAUUACCCUCCCAACUUAAGUUUCAAUUUAAUUACAUGGUCAUAUACAAUUUACCAAUUAUAUAAAAAUAAGUUUUAAAUGAGCAUCCCUUUAGAUCAAGAUUGAAUAAGGAAUAUUCGUUAUUUCCUUAUCCUUUUAUACUUGCUCACUCUCUCUCACCGUCAGUCUCUCUCAGUCUCUAUGUCUCUAUCUUUGUCUCUCUCUCUUUCUUGCAAAGCCUGAAGAUUCACUUCCCUUUAGUUGGUCACAUGUGUCUCUCUCUCUCUUGCAAUGCCCGAAGACUCAUAAGGAAUAUCAGUUUAUGAUUUGAAAAGAUGAAUGCUCAAGGAAGUUAAAAUUGCAAAGUUUGAAGAUUCACUUCGCUUUAGUUUGGCUAUAGCACAUGCGGAGACUUUAAUCUCUCCUAAUUCCCUGUAGGAUUAUAAAUUUUGAAUGUGUUUGACUCUCUACCAUUGACAGCCAUUAAAAAGCUUUGAAGCUUUGAAAUCGAAUUUGAGUUUUCACAAACCAUUAUUUGUUUGGAUUGGGUGUUGUUGCAAACAAUUGAGAAUAUUGUUUGGAGUUUAUAUCUCAAUUUUGAGGCUGUUUUGGUGAAGAUUAGACUUGAUUUUAGCUAAAUUUUAAAUUGAAACUCGAAGAAGAAUAAGAAGAACACAUGACAUACAAUAUACUUACGAAAUUGUAGUAAAAUUAUAUUAUAGUUAUGUAAAUUAUAUUAUGUUGUAGUUAUAUAUACAUUAUUGAGGUCAGUCUUUUUGGAUUACCUUUUUAUUUGAACGUUGUAUGAUAUUUGAAAAAUAGUUGUAUAAUGUAUGAAUUGUUGUCUAAAAUUUGUAUUUAAGUUAUCAAUACUAUCUUUUUACAUAAAAUUGCUGAUAUGUAUCAAAAUUGUAUUAAGAGAGUAACUUUUGAUUGGAAUUUUAGAGAGGAAGAAGCACACACCACUGAAAAAUAUAUACAAAUCAGAUACAAAAUAUAUAUAAUAGACAUAUUGUAUAAAAUUUAUUUAAAAAUUGUAUUUAAGUUAUAUGAUAUUGUAGUUGUAUUUAACUGGGUAGAAAUAAUGCAUGAAAGUUGUAUAUAAGUUGUAUAAUAUAUAAUUAGUUGCAUAAAAUUUAGUUUUACUAUGUAUAAAUCAGAUACAAAAUAUACAAAAGACAUAUUGUAUAAAAUUUAUAUAAAAAAUUGUUUUCAAGCUGUAUGAUAUUGUAGUUAUAUUUAUGUAACGACCCGACAGGUCAUUUUGAGCUAUAGUACUUCGUUCACCAGUUUGAGGCCUUGAGUAGAUUCUCUUAGGUAUUAUGACUUGUACGUGUGGUCGGAAUUGAAUUUUAGGAUGUUCGGAGUUGAUUUGGAAGAAAAUUCUAAUUUCGGAAACUUUAAGUUGGAAGAUUGGCUAAGAUUCAGCUUUUGAGUAAACGACCUCGGAAUCGGGAUUUGAAGGCUCCAAUAGGUUCGUAUGAUGAUUUUGGACUUGGGCGUAUGUUUGGGUUGAGUAUCGGAUCACCCGGGAGCAUUUCAGUGCUUAUCAUGGAAGGUUGGCAUUUUGAAGGCUUAAGAAUUUCCUAAGUUUGGUUUGAAGUAGGCUUUGAUGUUAUCGAUGUCUGUUUGGGAUUCCGAGCCUUAGAGUGGGUUUGUAUUGUGAUUCAUGACUUGUAUGCAAGGUUUGACAUCUUUCUAGAAUGUUUUGGUGUGGUUCGGAUGUGUUCGUUAAAGUUUAAAAAUUUGAAAGCUUAAAGAAGGAUUUCGUUCGUCGAUUCGUAGUUUUGAUAUUGUUUGGCGAGAUUUGAGGCCCCGACUAAGUUCGUAAUAUAUUUUGGGAUGCGUGGGUUUGUUUGGUUAAGGUCUCGGGGGCCUCGGGUGAGUUUCAGAUUGAAAUCGGAUAAAAAAUUUGACGUUGAGGAAUGCUAGUGUUGGCCAAUUGUUGGUGCAAUCGCACCUGUGUAUUGAGGGAAGGUGCGAGCCCGCAGGUGCGGCGUUGGGGCCGCAGAAGCGACAAUUGGACUGAGCUGGGGUGGCCACAUAUGCGAGGCUAUAUCCGCAUCUACGAGCCCAUAGAUGCGAAGGGUGCUGCAGAAAUGGAAAACGAGAGAGACAGUUGGGUCACAGAAGCGAAGGGAUAUCCGCACGUGCGGAAGCGCAUGAGUGGGGGACCGCAGAAGCGGUCGCGCAAGAGCGAAAAUAGGUCCGCAGAAGCGGAUUUUGCCUGGCUUGGAGGGAACCGCACUUGUGAUGGAUUCUUCCGCAGGUACGACUGGUGUUCCGCAGGUGCGGAAAGUCGUCUUGGCAGAGGUGUUAUUUUAAAAGCGGGAUUUGGCCCUUUUUCUUUCAUUUUUACUUGGUUGGGGCGAUUUUGGAGAGUUUCAAGGGGAGACUUUCAUCAAGCAACACAAAGUAAGUGAUUCUCACCUAUUACAAGUUAAAUACAUGGGUUGUAUAUGGAUUUAAGCAUGGAAAUUAGUAGAAACUUGGGAUUUUGGAAGAAAACCUAAAAAUUGAUAUUUUUGGAUUUUGACCACGAAAUUAGACAUGGAAUUAGGAAUAAAUCAUAUAUUUGAGUUCGUGGUGUUAUGGGUAAAGUUUAUCUUGGAACAUUUUCAGAAUCCGGGCACGUGGGCCCGAGAGUUGGCUUUAUCGACUUUUCGAGUGGGGUUAUGAAUUGUUUAAAUUGAUUAAUUAUGGGUAUUAGAAUAUAUUUUGAUUGGGUUACACACUGUUUGAAUAGUUUUGGAUCGACAUGAUUUGGUUCGAGGUGUUAGAGAGGCUUUGGAGCCGGUUAUGGAACUUCGGAACGAGGUAAAUCUCCUGUCUAACCUUGUGAGGGGAAAACUACCCUUAUGUCAUAUUUAUUAUUAUGUGCAACUAGUUGUGGGUGCUUCGUACGCACGAGGUGAUGAGAGUCUGUAUGAAGCUAAAGCAUGUUUUAUGUCCGGCUAGACUUAGGAUCUUAUUUUGUAAUAUUUGAAUUAUUUGAACUCAUGUUGCUGGCUUAAUUAAUUGAAGUUAUAGAUGAAAUUGAUUUAGAAAUAGAUAUAUGUAUACUAGGACAAGCCUUAACACUUUGAGUUGUGGGCGAGUUAUUUGAGAAACAGUAAAGAUUAUAUUCAUUUUGUACCCAUGUACGAUAUUGUAAACACAUGCCUCAUAAUUCGGUAACUUCAUUUCUUUUCUUGUGGAGCGGGCCGAAUGCCUCGGUAGUAUAUAGAUGCAUCUAUGGUUCGUGCCGCACGACCUUCGGUAGUGUAUACAUUAUUCCGGAUCGGGCCGAACGACCUCAGCAGAAUCGUGCAUUGUAUCGCUAGAAGUCUGAAUAUUCACGAGCUAAUCUUUCCACUGAUGCCCGACAUUUAUGGCAUUUCUUAUUUCCUUGAUGUUGACACUUGACAUUUACAGAGAUAUUAAGGUAGAAUACAAGAUUGAGAAAUUUAUGCUUUAAAGGAAAUAAUUUGAAAAUUAUGAGAUUACAGAUUUACUCCACUAUUACUGUGCACUUCAUAUCUGUCAUGAAUUAUCAUAUUAUUUACUUGGACCUUUAUUAAGUGUCGAUGUCAACCCCUCGUCCCUACUUCUCCGGGGUUAUGCUAGAUACUUACUGGGUAUGCGUUGAUUUACGUACUCAUAUUGCACUUCUACACUAAAUGUGCAGGAUCUGUCAGGUUCAUUUGAUGAUCAUCUUGGCGUGUAGGCGCACCUAUUGAGGAGACUUCAUGUGAGCUGCAUUCCAGACUACGUAUCGCAGUCCACUGGCUCCAUUAUACUAAUUAUUUUAUUUUGUCUUAUUACAUUCGGGACAACUAUUGUAUUAUUCUUGUACUCCUUAGAAAAAUGCUCAUACACUUGUAACACUGGGUUUUGGGGGUUUCUGCUGGUUGUUUGUUAUUGUAGUUGUGUAAAUAUUAUCACUUACUCUGUAAAAAAAUCUAUUUCAUACGAUUUAAUUAAGGAAA
rnacentral:lncRNA from 1 species